GAUGAACGCUGGCGGCGUGCCUAACACAUGCAAGUCGAGCGAACAGACGAGGAUCUUGCUCCGCUGACGCGAGCGGCGGAUGGGUGAGGAACACGAGGAUAACCUCCCUUGAAGAAUGGGAUAACUUCGGGAGACCGGAUCUAACAUCCGAUAAGAUAGUGAACCUCAGGGUUCAAUAGACAAAGACCGUUUUGCUGUCACUUAUAGAGGUUUCCGAGCCGGAUUAGCUAGUUGGUACGGUAACGGCUUACCAAGGCGACGAUGCGUAGCCGAACUGAGAGGAUGAUCGGCCACACUGGAACUGAGACACGGUCCAGACUCCUACGGGAGGCAGCAGUAGGGAAUCUUCGGCAAUGGGCGAAAGCCUGACGCAGCCAGGCCGCGUGUGUGAAGAAGGUCUUCGGAUCGUAAAGCACUGUUAGUUGGGAAGAACGGAUGUGUAAUUAAACCUGGCCGUCUUGACGGUACCUACUGAAAAAGCACCGGCUAACUACGUG
rnacentral:rRNA from 1 species